rnacentral:rRNA from 1 species
UACGAAGGGGGCUAGCGUUGCUCGGAAUCACUGGGCGUAAAGGGCGCGUAGGCGGAUUUUUAAGUCAGGGGUGAAAGCCUGUGGCUCAACCACAGAAUUGCCUUUGAUACUGAGGAUCUGGAGACCGGAAGAGGUAAGUGGAACUGCGAGUGUAGAGGUGAAAUUCGUAGAUAUUCGCAAGAACACCAGUGGCGAAGGCGGCUUACUGGUCCGGUUCUGACGCUGAGGCGCGAAAGCGUGGGGAGCAAACAGG